GACGAACGCUGGCGGCGUGCUUAACACAUGCAAGUCGAACGGAAAGGCCCUGCUUUUGUGGGGUGCUCGAGUGGCGAACGGGUGAGCAACACGUGAGUAACCUGCCCUUGACUUUGGGAUAACUUCAGGAAACUGGGGCUAAUAACGGAUAGGAGCUCCUGCUGCAUGGUGGGGGUUGGAAAGUUUCGGCGGUUGGGGAUGGACUCGCGGCUUAUCAGCUUGUUGGUGGGGUAGUGGCUUACCAAGGCUUUGACGGGUAGCCGGCCUGAGAGGGUGACCGGCCACAUUGGGACUGAGAUACGGCCCAGACUCCUACGGGAGGCAGCAGUGGGGAAUAUUGCACAAUGGGCGGAAGCCUGAUGCAGCAACGCCGCGUGCGGGAUGACGGCCUUCGGGUUGUAAACCGCUUUCGCCUGUGACGAAGCGUGAGUGACGGUAAUGGGUAAAGAAGCACCGGCUAACUACGUG
rnacentral:rRNA from 1 species